CAGCCGCCGCGGGAAUACAGAGGGUGCAAGCGUUAAUCGGAUUUACUGGGCGUAAAGGGCGCGUAGGUGGUUAUGUAAGUGAGAUGUGAAAUCCCCGGGCUUAACCUGGGGACUGCGCUUAAUACAGGCAGUCUAGAGUGAGGAAGAGGGUUGUGGAAUUCCCAGUGUAGAGGUGAAAUUCGUAGAUAUUCGGAAGAACACCAGUGGCGAAGGCGGCUCACUGGCUCAUACUGGACGCUGAGGUGCGAAAGCGUGGGGAGCAAACAGGAUUAGAUACCCGUGUAGUCCCUGUCUCUUAUAC
rnacentral:rRNA from 1 species